rnacentral:rRNA from 1 species
GAUGAACGCUGGCGGCGUGCCUAAUACAUGCAAGUCGAGCGAACAGACGAGGAGCUUGCUCCUCUGACGUUAACGGCGGACGGGUGAGUAACACGUGGAUAACCUACCUAUAAGACUGGGAUAACUUCGUGAAACCGGAGCUAAUACCGGAUAAUAUAUUGAACCGCAUGGUUCAAUAGUGAAAGACGGUUUUGCUGUCACUUAUAGAUGGAUCCGCGCCGCAUUAGCUAGUUGGUAAGGUAACGGAUUACCAAGGCAACGAUGCGUAGCCGACCUGAGAGGGUGAUCGGCCACACUGGAACUGAGACACGGUCCAGACUCCUACGGGAGGCAGCAGUAGGGAAUCUUACGCAAUGGGCGAAAGCCUGACGGAGCAACGCCGCGUGAGUGAUGAAGGACUUCGGAUCGUAAAGCUCUGUUAUUAGGGAAGAACAAAUGUGUAAGUAACUAUGCACGUCUUGACGGUACCUAAUCAGAAAGCCACGGCUAACUACGUG